AUACUGUGAAACGGCGAAUGGCUCAUUAAAUCAGUUAUCGUUUAUUUGAUAGUACCUUACUACUUGGAUAACCGUGGUAAUUCUAGAGCUAAUACAUGCUAAAAACCCCGACUUCGGAAGGGGUGUAUUUAUUAGAUAAAAAACCAAUGCCCUUCGGGGCUCCUUGGUGAAUCAUGAUAACUUAACGAAUCGCAUGGCCUUGUGCCGGCGAUGGUUCAUUCAAAUUUCUGCCCUAUCAACUUUCGAUUGUAGGAUAGAGGCCUACAAUGGUUUCAACGGGUAACGGGGAAUUAGGGUUCUAUUCCGGAGAGGGAGCCUGAGAAACGGCUACCACAUCCAAGGAAGGCAGCAGGCGCGCAAAUUACCCAAUCCCGAUACGGGGAGGUAGUGACAAUAAAUACUGAUACAGGGCUCUUUUGGGUCUUGUAAUUGGAAUGAGUACAAUUUAAAUCUCUUAACGAGGAACAAUUGGAGGGCAAGUCUGGUGCCAGCAGCCGCGGUAAUUCCAGCUCCAAUAGCGUAUAUUAAAGUUGUUGCAGUUAAAAAGCUCGUAGUUGAACCUUGGGCCUGGCUGGCCGGUCUGCCUCACCGCAUGUACUGGUUCGGCCGGGUCUUUCCUCCUGGGGAUCCGCAUGCCCUUCACUGGGUGUGUUGGGGAACCAGGACUUUUACUUUGAAAAAAUUAGAGUGUUCAAAGCAGGCCUUGCUCGAAUACAUUAGCAUGGAAUAAUAGAAUAGGACGUGCGGUCCUAUUUUGUUGGUUUCUAGGACCGCCGUAAUGAUUAAUAGGGAUAGUCGGGGGCAUCAGUAUUCAGUUGUCAGAGGUGAAAUUCUUGGAUUUACUGAAGACUAACUACUGCGAAAGCAUUUGCCAAGGAUGUUUUCAUUAAUCAGUGAACGAAAGUUAGGGGAUCGAAGACGAUCAGAUACCGUCGUAGUCUGAACCGUAAACUAUGCCGACUAGGGAUCGGGCGAUGUUAUUCUUUUGACUCGCUCGGCACCUUACGAGAAAUCAAAGU
rnacentral:rRNA from 1 species